rnacentral:rRNA from 1 species
AACGAACGCUGGCGGCAUGCCUAACACAUGCGAGUCGAACGAGACCUUCGGGUCUAGCGGCGCACGGGUGCGUAACGCGUGGGAACCUGCCCUUAGGUUCGGAAUAACUCCCCGAAAGGGGUGCUAAUACCGGAUAAUGUCUUCGGACCAAAGAUUUAUCGCCUUUGGAUGGGCCCGCGUUGGAUUAGCUAGUUGGUAGGGUAAAAGCCUACCAAGGCGACGAUCCAUAGCUGGUCUGAGAGGAUGAUCAGCCACACUGGGACUGAGACACGGCCCAGACUCCUACGGGAGGCAGCAGUGGGGAAUAUUGGACAAUGGGCGAAAGCCUGAUCCAGCAAUGCCGCGUGAGUGAUGAAGGCCUUAGGGUUGUAAAGCUCUUUUACCCGGGAUGAUAAUGACAGUACCGGGAGAAUAAGCUCCGGCUAACUCCGUG